rnacentral:rRNA from 1 species
GACGAACGCUGGCGGCGUGCUUAACACAUGCAAGUCGAACGCUGAAGCUCAGCUUUUGUUGGGUGGAUGAGUGGCGAACGGGUGAGUAACACGUGAGUAACCUGCCCCUUUCUUUGGGAUAACGCCCGGAAACGGGUGCUAAUACUGGAUAUUCACUGGUCUUCGCAUGGGGGUUGGUGGAAAGGGUUUUUCUGGUGGGGGAUGGGCUCGCGGCCUAUCAGCUUGUUGGUGGGGUGAUGGCCUACCAAGGCUUUGACGGGUAGCCGGCCUGAGAGGGUGACCGGUCACAUUGGGACUGAGAUACGGCCCAGACUCCUACGGGAGGCAGCAGUGGGGAAUAUUGCACAAUGGGCGCAAGCCUGAUGCAGCGACGCCGCGUGAGGGAUGGAGGCCUUCGGGUUGUGAACCUCUUUCGCUCAUGGUCAAGCCGCAACAAUGGUUGUGGUGAGGGUAGUGGGUAAAGAAGCGCCGGCUAACUACGUG